rnacentral:lncRNA from 1 species
UUUUUUUUUAACCUGAAUAUUUGUGAUACAGAAAUCUGUGCAGUUUGACAAAUAUUUUUUGUUUGAUUUAUUCUUACAACUCCAGAAUGAUAUGUGGAGUACAGAUAAAUUUCUUUCAAUUGAGGAAAUUUGUAUUUCAAGUCCAGAUAAUUUUAGGUUUAUUUCUGCAGAAUUGAAGAUGUCAUAUUAACAGAGGUUAUAUAUUUCUUCAUUAGUUUGUACACUUCUUUUGAAUGACGUGCAAUUAUUGUCAGGUAGUAGCAAAAUGUGUUUCUCUUCAAAUUUAAAGGAGUGAAUCAAGCAGAUUCUCAUUCUAGAAAUACAUUUGUAGCUUAAGAAACUAUGUGCAAUAUUUAUAUAAUGCUUAUAAUCAAAGGCAAUGUAGGUUACACAAGUUGAGGCUCAUUUAAGACUAGAGUGAUGUUUAAAGGCACUCAUGAAUAUUUAUCAAAAACGAUACUAUUUUUGAUGAGUUUAUUUUGGUCUGUCAAUUUACUUAAAGAAAAUGUGGUAAAUGUUCAGUGAUUUGAACUUCUCAUUUAAGGGGCCGGGAUGUAAAUUGUCAGAGUAUUCAUUUAUUCAGAUUAACUAAUUAUAUGCCAAAUCCAGUGCUAUGAUUUGCUCAGACGUCCAAUGACGUCAGAAGCGAGAAAUCUUCAGUGACAAUUUUGGCCUUGUCGCUUGGAGGCGCUGUGUAAUCUGGGCAGCAAGAAUUGACACGUGUGUUGAUAAACAUAAUCACGAUAAUUCCAUAGAUUCACCGCUAUUUUGUCGUAUUUUGAUGAGCCAAUGUUGUUGAACCUUGCUACUUGCAUCUUUAUAUUGGA